rnacentral:lncRNA from 1 species
CCACCCCCCACCCCUCGUUUUUUUUUUUUUUAAUCUCCUUUCCUCCUCCUGCCGGUAUGCCCGCUAUCCGCACCAUGCAGUGCACGACUAGGUAAAAACCCCUAACGCGCAGUUACUUCAGUUAGUCGGGUUGGUUUUGUUACGGAGCUUUGGUAAACGAGGAGUCAGCGCAAGGUGGGAGGAGGAAGCGCGGAGCGGAAGGGACCGGGGAUGAGCGAUAACAAAGAGUCAGGUGCAGCGCCGUACGGCGCCCUCACGGCCGCUCGUGGAUGGCUCCGGUCUUUAAGCACUCCCCUCACAAGUCAAUAAGAAAACGGGAAAGCCGCGGAGGCAAAAGCCGCGUUUGUGCCGGCAGCUGCAGCGCUGAGAGAGAGAGGCGAGUGCAUUGUGCGGGGAGCGGGUGGCGCGCGGCCGUCCCAGCCCAUCCCAUCCCAUCCUGCGGGAGGGAAGGUGCGCCUGGCGGGGCACGGCCGCAGCCCGCGCUCGCACCACGUCCUGCAGAGCAUCUCCGUAAAUAGGAAUGCAGACAGUCUGGAUGCCUGACUUGGAAACUAUUCAAUGGUCAGGGGACAAAAAUGAGGAAG